rnacentral:rRNA from 1 species
AUGGGAGGCAGCAGUGGGGAAUAUUGCACAAUGGGGGAAACCCUGAUGCAGCAACGCCGCGUGAGUGAAGAAGUAUUUCGGUAUGUAAAGCUCUAUCAGCAGGGAAGAUAAUGACGGUACCUGACUAAGAAGCCCCGGCUAACUACGUGCCAGCAGCCGCGGUAAUACGUAGGGGGCAAGCGUUAUCCGGAUUUAUUGGGUUUAAAGGGUGCGCAGGCGGAGAUGCAAGCCAGCCGUAAAAUCGUGGGGCUCAACCCCAUUGAGCGGUUGGAACUUCAUCCCUUGAUUGCGGCAGAGGGAGGUGGAACUCGUGGUGUAGCGGUGAAAUGCAUAGAUAUCUCGAAGAACUCCGAUUGCGAAGGCAGCCUCCUGGACCGUAAAUGACGCUCAUGCACGAAGGCGCGGGUAUCAAACAGGAUUAGAUACCCUGGUA